CCCCAGUCAAAAAUUUCCCCGUACGCCUAUGUGGACGACUGCACCAACGAGUGUGGACGACUUCACCAGAUUUUUCGUGUGGACGACUUUGCUCGUGGACGACUUAACUGAUAUUCCUCUUGCCAUGCCUUCGAACCUGCACCUGCUUCUUUUUUUUCUUUUGAACAUACAAUUAUUUCGAAUUGGUAUAUCAGAUGGUUGGAGAUGUUGUUGAUAUAGGGAUGCAUUCUGUUGGACCAUAUGAUCCAGAGAUAGUGUUGGACAUUUAUAUAAAUUAUGCCAAACUUUUUCAAAAUUUAUAUGAGGAAAUGAGUCAUGGGAUGGUUUACGAACACCAACAUGGUGGAUUUCGGUUUUAUCUUAAUUUAGUUGAGAGCUAUAUACGGAGCCAACAUUUAUACGUAAGGAAUAAAGAAUCGUGGACAACCUUGACGGAUCGAACGAUUAUUUUUGAUAUUUUGAGAGAAGGAUCCAUUUACUUGAACUUUACUUUUCAAAUUUUUAAACAGUAUUGUAACCCAAUUUACAAUGUCAUUUGGAAAAUUCAUAUGUUUUAGUAGGGUUUUUAUAUAAUUGUGUUCAAUACGGUCAAAGGCUUUUUUCCUAAUCAAACGAUAAGAUAUAGGCAUUAGUUUCAUGUGUGUCUAAAUAAUUUAGGAUUGAAUCAAUUAAAUACAGGUUAUCGAAGGUGCUUUUAUUUGGUCCGGCUCCCGUUUGUGUUUUAGAGAUCAAUUUGUUAAUAACUGUGUUCAUUCAUAUACUUAAUAUUUUUGUGAUGAUUUUAUAGUCGACACAUAACAGGCUUAUUGGUCUAUAGUUCUUAAGUAAUCGGUGGUCGCCUCUAUUCUUAUAGACAAACAAUUUAUUCUUAUAAUUAAUUAUUAUUAUACCGGUUCUCAUUGGGUUAGAUAAUUCACCCUGUUGAUAGAUGUUGUUUAUUACUUCUGUCAGGUCGGUUCCUAUGGUGUCAAAGAAUUUGAUAUAGAAAUCUCCUGGAAUACCGUCGAUGCCUGGGCUACGGUUUGAUCUGAAACUUUGUAAGGCCUUAAGAUCUUCAUCUUUAGAUAUGAAAUGAGACAGGGAAUCUCUUUCCGUGUUAGUUAGAGUAUUUAUGUUACUGUUUUCAAUAUAGGAGUUUAUUAGGUUUUCGUCAAUGUAUAUAGUUGUUGGUAAUAUUGGUGAAUUGUGUCUAGAAUAUCUUGUUCAUUAUCAAAUACUGUAUUAUUUUGAUUGAUUAAUUGUUUAAUUUGCUUUUUAGCACCGUUUUUGACCUCAGCUAAUUUAUAUAUUUUAGAAUAUCUUAACCUUGUAUUGUAUUUUGUUCUAUUAUUUCGAUUUUUGUUUGAAUUUCAUGCAUUGAGUUAGUAUUCAUAGGUAGUAUGGAAGUAGAUCAACUUAUAGUGUGAUAUAUAUUGAGACUAUAUUUAUGUUAUAUAUAUGAAUGCAUAUCUAGCACUAUGCAUAUCUAGCGGUGUAUUAUGAAUGUAUGUUAUAUUAAAGGACGACGGAUAUUGUUAGCGUUGGUGACAUGGGCUACUCCUAGAUCUAUCUUUAUAAUAGUAUUAACAUGUCACGUUUAGAUUAUAUUUAGAGAGAAAGAUAGAUAGAUAUGGGGUUAAGUGGAGGGAAACCGCAGUUCAGGACCCGGAAAAACCCACGAGAUUCGUUGACACGUAUAUGCGGGGAACCUACUCCAUGCAGAUUGACUCUAUGUAUAUGAUAGACCAGGAAAAAACCCACGAGGGUGGACAGGCUACCCUAUUCUGUGUCACGUACUUGCGGUGAACCGAGUCCAAGCCAAUUGACUCUAUGAUAGACGUUACUCACUGAGCCAUCGCGACUCCCUUGAUAAUAUAAUACUUGACAAAAUACCAAGGUUAAUUUACGUCCGCUUCCAUUGAGUUGAUACCGUAGACAAUAAAUCAAUGUCUAAGUAUUCUGAUAAUAACAUAUUGAUGUCAGGGAAUUAAGUUCGAUUCUCGAGAAGAACCUUGAGGUUUGUCAAGCCUGAGUUUCACCUGUCAGGGGUAUAACGUCUAUUGGGCUGACUAGUCCUUCGGAUGGUUCCUACGUGUAUACAUUGGCGUGCACGUAAAAUACAUUCGAUGAAACGCCGCUGUCAGGGCAAAAUUCUUCUCAUUAGCAUAACAUCCCUUAAUAACAGAAUAAAAAGCCGGUAGUAUUGUGUUGUGUUAACGAAAUGUUAAAUUACAUUCCUAUUUUAUUUUGUGGUUAUAUGACUAAAACGUCAGUUAUAUCAAGAUAAGCCAGAAUAUUUUAAAGAUACUUCACCGUAUACAAACCGUUCGAUCAAGAAAUAACAACCUCUCCCUCAGUUAAACUAGCAUACAAUAAGCCGUCGUGUUGGCUCCCUCAGUCAAACUAGCAUACAAUGAGCCGUCGUGUUGGCUCCCUCAGUUAAACUAGCAUACAAUGAGCCGUCGGGUUGGCAGUUAGUGAUACCCUGACAUUUUUGUACAGUUCCUGUUUUUCGCGUAAUCCAGUAUUUUUCUAGUAAGAUUGGGCGUCUAAGCUUUUCAUAUAUAUCAUGUCAUACUUUUACUGGGAAUAACCACCUGAUAAAUAUAUUUGUGACAAUGUAUCUUUAAUAUCCUUGUGAUUGAAGCGGAUGUUUAGUUGAGAGAUUAAUCUUCCAAAUAUUGCGGGAGGUUGCGUGACCGAAAGGUUAACGCAUGCGCGUUGGAUCAUAAGGUCUGCAAUGAGUCAAGUGGUGUGGUUUCGAUUCCCCGCUUGUACGGGACAAGAAGUAGGGCCCAUCCUCUUAAUUUUGCUCCCACUUCUAAAGACCCAUACGCAUAAGCGAAUCAUUUACAUAAAAUUGAAAAAUAUGUUAAUAACGAAACUCUCUCUCUCUCUCUCUCUCUCUCUUUCUCUCUCUCUUAUUAAGGUGAAUAAUUUCUGUACAUGUUAACUAUU